rnacentral:rRNA from 1 species
GCAGCAACGCCGCGUGAGGGAUGACGGCCUUCGGGUUGUAAACCUCUUUUAGUAGGGAAGAAGGGAGCUUGCUCUUGACGGUACCUGCAGAAAAAGCACCGGCUAACUACGUGCCAGCAGCCGCGGUAAUACGUAGGGUGCAAGCGUUGUCCGGAAUUAUUGGGCGUAAAGAGCUCGUAGGCGGUUUGUCGCGUCUGCUGUGAAAACCCGAGGCUCAACCUCGGGCCUGCAGUGGGUACGGGCAGACUAGAGUGCGGUAGGGGAGAAUGGAAUUCCUGGUGUAGCGGUGGAAUGCGCAGAUAUCAGGAGGAACACCGAUGGCGAAGGCAGUUCUCUGGGCCGUAACUGACGCUGAGGAGCGAAAGCGUGGGGAGCGAACAGGAUUAGAUACCCUGGUAGUCCACGCCGUAAACGUUGGGCGCUAGAUGUGGGGACCUUUCCACGGUUUCCGUGUCGCAGCUAACGCAUUAAGCGCCCCGCCUGGGGAGUACGGCCGCAAGGCUAAAACUCAAAGGAAUUGACGGGGGCCCGCACAAGCGGCGGAGCAUGCGGAUUAAUUCGAUGCAACGCGAAGAACCUUACCAAGGCUUGACAUAUACGAGAACGGGCCAGAAAUGGUCAACUCUUU